AAAAGUACAAUACAUUGUUAUUAAUUAUAGUAAUCACAUCAUGCAACUGAUCUCUUGAACUUGUUUCUCUAAGCUGAAGUUUGUAUCCUUUUACUAACAUCUGCCCAACUCCUCCUACACUUUUUUUAUACUUGAAUGGGAAGUGUCCAUUCAGCUGGACUCUUUUAAGUUAAACAUGCUACAAACUACCAUUAUGUGCUAAAGCACUCUGCUAGAUUUUGAUUAUUGAAGCCUUGGUCUCUUCUUUAGGGGAGCUUCUAGUCUGAGAAAGGAUAGCUAUUAAAUACCAGUCACAAAGCAAUGUGAUAAGGCUAUGGGGGAAGCAUCCUGCCAAUGUUUGUACUAUUUUCCCCACACUUCCUUUCUAGGACCACAUGACCUUACCCCUGGAUUUUGGCUGUAAAAACCUGAUUGUUCUGUCUCCAAUCUCUCUACACUUUUGACACAAGAGUUAAAAAUAAACAGAAAAUGUAAAAAAUUAAUUUGUCUGGCUCCAAGCUAUAUUCAUUAACUUUCUCUGGCAAAGUCAAAGGAUAGUGGUAUUUGAUGCAGCUCCAAUCUGAGUUCUCUCAGGGAAAAAAUCUUAAUGAAGCUGCUUUGAACAGUUGGGGUAAGAUCAGGCAGCAAAGGUUCUGUCUUAGGAUGAUCAUACUAAGCAAACUCAUCCUAAGCCUGGAGCUGGUCUCAUAGAGUAGAAGAAGCCAACUGAAAAUGUCCUAAUGAGGUCAUUAAUUCCUCCUCCUUCACUGAUUCUCCAAAGCUGAGAAACUCCAUGAAAACAUUCAGUUACUUGGUCUUUCCAUUGGGUCAUCACAUAAACUUACAUUUCAUUUGCUAAUUCAGACAUCAUAUGUUUAUACUGUCCUCUCCAUUGCCCCUUGCAGAGUACUGUUCUUACAAAGCAUUAGCUUUUGUGUUCACUGUAACUUUUCAUAGAGUCACAAUUCACGCACAGCAUUCCUGCCUUCAAGGAAGCUGUCUUAAGCUCCAUUCAUAUCAACUGAAAACAAAUGGUGAUCACAGAAAGAUGGCCUGGAUAUAUGGAUGAUGUUCUAAGUGACUGGGAACAUCCUAGAAAAAGAAAUAGUCUGUAGAACAAAAACCUGUCUGCCUGAAAUAUAUGAAUGGCCUUGGAAAUGGAAUCAGAGAUAAGAGAUAGCAGAGAAGCCCCUUUUCUUUAAUCUGAAUACUGGAAUUCAGGUUCUGAGAUUUCACAGAGACGGGGUUGAUAGCAGGGCCAGAAGAAAGAGAGCAGAUGUUGAUGAAGGAACAUUCCAAGCAAUUUUCUCUCACCUUGGGGCAUUGUUUUGAACAUACACAGUUAAGGUGGAAAGCAGCUUAUAUAGGAUGAAGGUCACAAAAAUGAAUAUAGCUUAGACAUCAUGAUUUCAUCCCUCUCUCUCCUAGACUUUAUCACAAUGGCAUCAUCCAGUGUGCUUAGAGUGAGCAAAAGAUGUUUGUUUUUAAUAAUUCUUCGGCAGAUAGGUCAGGAAUGUAGGCCUAAUAUCCUGCUUUGCUUGUAUGAACCUUAAAAACAGAAUUAUAGUAUCUGAAAGGCAGAAAGAGUUUAAAGAUCAUCUAUUUCAUUUUUUUGUGUGUGUAUGUGUGUUUGCGUGUGUGCAGUGAGGAAUCUAUUGAUUACCUGUAUCACAAUCAAUAGGGUGCCAGUAAAUAAUUAAGGUUCCUGAACCUUGUCACAGAACAAGUGAAUCAACAUUUUUGUGGGGGCUACAGGUUAAAAAACCUGCAUAUUAUUAAUAAUAAAUAAACUGCAUAAUGAUUUCUUUUGUACGUUAAAGCUUGAGACUCACUGGCCUAAACUACCCUUUAAUUUGCUAAUGAGAAAACUGGGCCAUUUCCUCACCAAGACCAAUCGGUAGCAAAAUAUGCAUGAUACAAGAGUUCUCCUGACCCCAAUAGAAUACAUUUUUUUAAAAUGAUUUCAUGAAGAGACUUGGACUCUCCUAGAGCAAUGAUUACUUUCUGUUUCAUGCAAACACCAAGUCCUGAAAGGUUCCUUAAUAGGAUAAAGCUUCUAGUUUUGUAGGUACUUGGUUUUAUUAGUUAAAUGCUAAACUGAGUACAUUUUUAUAAGGGGCUUUAACUGUAAGACCAGUUAUUUAAAUCCUCCUGAGAAAUAGCGCGAUGACUCAGGAUGAGACAUCCCCUGAUCUCUUCUUGCAUCCAAAGUCCUUCCAGAUUAUCCUGUUUGAUAGCAAAGAUGUUUUCCUGAGGGGGUUCAUGGAGCAUGUAUCUGGGCCAUUUACCUAGGAUGACAGCUCUUUGAAAUCGCCUAUGUAUCCUCUUGCAGAGCUAGUUUAGUGCAGAUACAACUGUACAUCCCUACACAGGUCAAACACAUUUCCCAACCUUACCGUCCAGUGUAUUUAUGUAUUAUUUUAUAUACCGAGGAUCUUUGUAAAAUUUAUUUUGGACAAAGGAUUCUGUUGUCAAAAGUAAGGCAUUUAGAAGACAUGUUUAAAAAAAUGUGUUGCUUUGAAGAAUAACACUGAUUUCUGCAUUUAGGGAUAGUCUGUAUGGGUUGCCAUAUCAUUGCUAUGGACUGAACAGUGUCCUUGGAAAAUUUAUAUGUUGAAGUCCUAACCCUCAAUAUGACUAUUUAAAGAAAACUUUUAGGAGGUAAUUAAGGUUAAAUGAGAUCAUAAGAGUGGAGUCCUAAUCUGAUAGGAUUGUUGGUCUUAUAAGAAGAAGACAGACAGAGCCCUGUCUUCACAUACAUGCACCAAGGAAAGCUCAUGUGAGCACACAACAAAGCGGGGGCUGUCUGCAAGCCAGGAAGAGGGCCCCUACCAGAACCUGAGCAUGCUGGCCCCCUAAGCUUGAACUUCCCAGCUUCCAGAAUUGUGAGAAAUAAACUUCUGUUGUUUAAGCCGCCCAGUCGAUAGUAUUUGUUAUGGCAGCCUGAGGAGAUUCAGAUAGUCUUGAAGAGUAGGCCUAGUUUCAGAAAUGGGCAUGAAAACACAGGGUAGUAUGGUCCCAGAUAGGCCCCUUCCUGGAACACAUAUUUCCUAUCUCAGGUGCUCUCAGGUUUUGGUUAGUGUGUAUGGCCUCUGUUUGAGUCACCUUGCAUUUGGCUUUUUAGCCUCUAGCUUCUUUCAGAUAGCUCCAUGGCAGUGUUAGAGUGAUGCCCUACUGGUGUUUCCUUGGGAUUGUUAACCAUGCCAUGAUGCACUAACUCUCUUAAACAAGCCUGGACAGCAAAAUGAGAGCUCGCCUCUACAAAUGAGUUUAAAAAAAUUAUCUCAGUGCAGUGAUGCAUGCCUGUAGUCCCAGCUACUUGGAAGGCUGAGGAGGGAGGAUCGCUAAGUAUGGGUUGUACAACAGAAGUCUAGAACAUCUUCAUCUUGCAUAACUGAAAUUUGUUACUCCAUUAUAUUCUUAAGGUAUAUCUAAACUCUUGAGUUUGCAUACUCUAUUACAUCAUGACUAUUGUCUUCAAACCUCUACAAGUGACUGGGCUGAUAAACUUAAUUUAAAGUGACUCUUACUUCAGGUAAGUUAUUUCAUUGAUUCAUAUUUCUUCCAACCUUAGCACCAUCACAAAUCAGAGCUUCUUGAUGAUGGGUAAAUCUGCCAGGCUUUGCCUUAGAAACAAAGAAAAGCAACCUUACUAAAGAUAUUUCAGGGUUAAAAACCUGAUAUAUAGUGGUAAGUUGGCAUUAGAGGAAGAGAAUCCAUUUUAAGAACUGAGGGAGCUAAUAAGUAUGUGAGUGUUGGUGGAGGAACGAAGAGGAAAUCAGGUUUGUGAGGCUGGGCAGUGGCCCAUUGCUGGACUUCAGAUAGACUUUUCAGAUUACUGACAUGCCACAAAACCACAGGCUUGGAGACAGCAUUCUUAUAAGGGAAGAGGUUGAGCAUAAGGUCACCCAAAGGCAGAAGAAAAUAUUUAUUUUACUAUUUAGAGUUGUUUUCCUUUCUUUAAACAAACUCUCCAUCAAUUCCACAGCAAGAGCUUUCUUCUGGCACAUCUGGUUUAUGUGAAUACAUUAGUGAGUUUCCCAGGAAGCCGCAGCAUCACACAAAGGCCCAUGAUCAUUUCACCAGGACAAAAAACAUGUGUUCACAACACCCACCCUUAUUGAUUCUCUUGGUAAGGAAGAAGAGAGGAUCAUAAACUAGAAGUGAAAAAGUGGAGAAAAAUGAUGCUUGCCUCACUCUGCUAUAACAAAUGAAUAGACAGGUUCCGGCCCUGUCAUGCAGGCUUGAGGACAGUGGCAUGAUCAUAACUCCCUGCAGCCUUGGCCUUCUGGGCUCAAGUGAUCCUCCUGCCUCGGCCUCCC